AACGAACGCUGGCGGCAGGCUUAACACAUGCAAGUCGAGCGCGUAGCAAUACGAGCGGCAGACGGGUGAGUAACGCGUGGGAAUCUACCCAUCUCUACGGAACAACUCCGGGAAACUGGAGCUAAUACCGUAUACGUCCUUUUGGAGAAAGAUUUAUCGGAGAUGGAUGAGCCCGCGUUGGAUUAGCUAGUUGGUGGGGUAAUGGCCUACCAAGGCGACGAUCCAUAGCUGGUCUGAGAGGAUGAUCAGCCACACUGGGACUGAGACACGGCCCAGACUCCUACGGGAGGCAGCAGUGGGGAAUAUUGGACAAUGGGCGCAAGCCUGAUCCAGCCAUGCCGCGUGAGUGAUGAAGGCCCUAGGGUUGUAAAGCUCUUUCAACGGUGAAGAUAAUGACGGUAACCGUAGAAGAAGCCCCGGCUAACUUCGUGC
rnacentral:rRNA from 1 species